CCGGAGCUCACGCAGGAUUACAGCCAGUUUCGCUGCCCACUGGUCACUGAUCAGGGACAGCCAGUGCCUCUGAUUUUUAAGCAGGCCACCAGCCAGGCAGGAGCGCAGGGACGGCUUUGGAGGGCUGAGGGGAGGCUCGACAAGCUCCUUCAUCCCACACCACGGGUGGGAGCAGGUUCUCAGGUGGAUGCCCAGUAAUUGAACUAAAUGAAGAGCCCCAUUAAUUCCCAGCAGUGUGGAGUGGCUCCGGGUGCCGGCUGCGGCGGGCAGCGUGUGGCAGCACCGGCUUGGGAAACCUUCCAGCACCUCCAGCCUGAUCCCAGUCCCCCGGCAUGGGGGACGAGGAAGCCUCUUUUCUGGGCUUUAAGAGGGGAAUUAUUGCCUUUUGUGUGUAAUUAAUGCAGAGAGCCACAUGCACCCGCCCCGUCACAGGGCAGAGCAGAGUCCAGAGUCACCUUACACAAACCCGGGUUAUUUUGGCACAAAACCCAGGGGCGAUCUGAGGUUCGGCUGUUACAGACCAAAAUUUCACUUUGCCGUUACUUUUGAGACCCUUUCAUUUUGAAUAAUGUAACCUAUUUUUUGUGAGUUAUUAAAGCUAAGUCAAGCACUUGAACUUGAAA